rnacentral:lncRNA from 1 species
AGGCGCAACUCUAUUUCCUUAAACCCCACCAAAGGCAGCGCCACGAGUCGACUCCGACCAAGGCCUCGCCCAACCCCGGACUCCGACCUGGCCUCGCCAUGGGUUCAGGGACCCUCGGUAUGACCCACCUACUAACCAGGCCAUCGCCGUUGGCAGGCGGCAGGACAUGCUGACAGUGACCCUCCCUGUGCUGCUCAGGGACCCCGCGGGUAUGGCCCGCACAGCGGCCGAGUAUGUCCAACAUU